GCUGGGCAUGGUGGUGCAUACCUGUAGUCCCAGCUACUUGGGAGGCUGAGGCAGGAAAAUCACUUGAACCCGGGAGGGGGGGGGUGUGGGGCGAUCUCAGUUCACCACAACCUCCACCUCCCGGGUUCAAGUGAUUUUCCUGCCUCAG
rnacentral:SRP_RNA from 1 species